rnacentral:rRNA from 1 species
AUGCAUAAUUUUUCUACUAAAAUUUGGUCAAAAGCGGGAGAAAUUUUUAAGUUGUUAAAAGAAAAGAGUACCGUAAUUCAUGAAAGAAUUGAAGAAAGCCCAUCUCAGAUUGAUAAACUGGAAGAAAUCUUUAGUAAUCUAAGUACGGCUUUUGCUUCCGCUAAAACCAUUGAAAAAACUCCCAUAAAAGUUGGCAAGAUUACUCAAGUUACUAAGAACAACGGUGCAACUUCUAGUAAUAGCAGUAAAGAAGAUCUCAAGAUUAUUAGUAUUCACCCGGAUUUUGUUGAAGUUAUAAGAGAUCCUUUGUGCAAGAAUGAAUUCCUUAAACAUGUUCCUAAGAGUAUUGUCAUUGAAAAUUUUUAUGCUAAUCCUUGA